GCCUACGGGGCGCCGCCGUGCGGCCUCUUUGUCCCUUUCCUCCCGUCUGCCCCAGCCAUGCCGCGUGCAGGAAGACGGCUCUAUGAGUUGUAAACUGCUUUUGUACGAGGGUAAACUCGGAUACGUGUAUCCGUUUGAAAGUAUCGUACGAAUAAGGAUCGGCUAACUCCGUGCCAGCAGCCGCGGUAAUAUGGAGGAUUCAAGCGUUAUCCGGAUUUAUUGGGUUUAAAGGGUGCGUAGGCGGUCGGAUAAGUUAGAGGUGAAAUCCCGAGGCUCAACUUCGGAAUUGCCUCUGAUACUGUUCG
rnacentral:rRNA from 1 species